UUGGCUAAAAGCUAUCUGGAAGAUUUUCAGUCGGUCUGUAGCGUUGGCUUCGUUGAGCCACGUUUUUUCGUCCUUCGUCGACGUCGCAGUGUGACAACGUGACUUGGGAUAUUAUCGUUAAUGAAGAUCAAGUUGAUGUACAGCAUCCUGAGAAUCCUGUGGGCUAAGCGUUCUACUGAAUUGGUGCAAAUAACAUUAUAUAGCUACCGGUUGUCGCCCAUUUAAAUACUUACCAAGGAGUCCUGGAUCUUUUCCCCAGGUGUGGAGGAGGUGACAAGGGCUUCCCAACAUCCCCUAGACCACCUGCCCUUUUGUUCACUGCAAAUUCCAGGAGUCAUGGAUCUUUUCCCCAGGUGUGGAGGAGGUGACAAGAGCUUCCCAACAUCCCCUACCUACUGGACCACCUGCCCUUUUGUUCACUGCAAAUUCCAGGAAUCUUGGAUCUUUUCCCCAAGAACAAUGGAACACGAAUAACAAGACAAAGACAAAUGCCACGAAGGAAUGAGAAACAAAGUAAGGGGUUCCCGGGGUUCCCGACAUCCCCUACCUCCUGGACCAUCUACAAAAAAAUUCUAUUCAUACACGUAGAUACUAAUCGGUAACUCGGAAAAGUGUAUAUCAAGCUCAGAAAGCUGAAAUCUUUUUUAUGGUACAGUCAUAUGUUUUUCUUUAAAAUAUAUUUAUAAAAUCUUGGUGGUUUCAGAAAAUUGAAUGUUUCGAGAGAGACUUCGGACAUUUAUUAAUAGUGCAUUUUACACAAGCAGCCUUUUUUUACAUGUUUUAUAUAUUGGCUUCGGCGAGCCUCUUGAAAUAAUCUGU